rnacentral:lncRNA from 1 species
GCCUGGUAGUGAGCCGUUCAGGGCCACGCGGAGUUUGUUGCGGAGAGUAGUGACAUCAGUGGACCGUUCAGAGCCACGUGAAGUUUGUUAUGGAGAGUGGAGUGGUGUCCGUUGUCGUGAUUUGCUAGAGAGUGGUGGGACCACGUGAAAUCUGUUACAAAGAGUGGAGUGGGGUAGUGGCCAUUAUCGUGACUUGCCAGAGAGUUUGGGCCUGUCGGC